UUUAAGAGUGUGGGAUUGGAAGCAAAGCAAAGGUAACUGUACUCAAAGUGAGAACGGACUAUGGAUUUGUACAACAUAAGUAAAAUCUUUGGAUCAGCCCCCCAAAAUGUUUUGGAAAGGCAUUUUAAAAUAUUAAAAGCUCUAGAAGCUUUAUCAGAUAUAUUACAGACAUGCUUAUUCCAAGAUAGAUUUUUUGUUAAUGUUACACCAAGAAACUUGGCUUCAGCUACUACAGGCAGUAUGCUACCAUUAUAAUUAAUAUUAGCAUGCAAAGUUCUUGAUCUACUGAAUAUAACAACUUUAGUUUUAUCUAAACUAAUAUCUAAUUGUAAAUAUUUAAAAUAAACAUUUAAUUUCUUUAAAGCUUUGUUUAUUUUAUUUUCUACUAUAUGAAUAUUUGAGCCUGAACAGUAAACUGCUAAAUCAUCAGCAAACUGUAAAUUGCUGACUUCAUUACCAAGAAUAAUAUUAAUUUUAUGAAUAUACAAAAUAAAUAACAGUGGACUCAAUAUUCCCCCUUGACAUACACCUAUAUAUGAAGAUUGUGGACCAUAUAAAUUAUUAUUGUACUUAACAUAGACUUGUCUAUUAUGUAGGAAAUUAAAAAUCCAGUUAAUCAACUUAUCUGGUAUUCCUAGUGUUUGCAGUUCAUUAGUUAGAAUAUGAUGAUUAACAUUGUUAAAAGCACCAACUAUAUCAAAGAAGACAGAAACCAGUAUAUUGUUACUAGAAAAAGCACGAUGAAUAUCUAGGUUUAAAUGAUUUAAGCUCUCUGUAGCUGAAAAACCUUUCCUGAAGCCAAACUGAUUUGAAGAUAACUGAUAGAGGAGUUUGCCGAUUAAUCGACUCACAGAAUUUUAUCCAGCUGGCAUUUCUUUCGUUUUUGAGAUGUUACAUAAAAGGUGGGUGAUGGUUGGAAGAUGAUAGCUCCCUAAAGGAUUAUCAUGUACAGACCAAUUGCAUCGGAGUGACAGAGAGGCAGAAACAAUUGUAAGAUCCAGAGCACUUGGACUCCAUAUAUCAGAGCCUACAGUAGUGGGUUGACCAUUAUUAAUUAUACAAAGAUCAUUGUCUUCAAUAGUAUUAAGAAGAAUAGUGCCUCUAGAAUCGGUUCUCGAGCAACCCCAAGUGGUAUUGUGGGCGUUAAAGUCACCAGCUAUUAUCAUAGGUGAUGGGAUAGAUUUAAAUAAGUUAUCUAAAUGUAAAUGUGUAAAGUUACGUGACAUUGCGGAUGUAGGGCUGUAAAAACUAACAAAAGAAAUUGUUUCAUUUUUCAAAUAUAAUUUUAAAGCGAUAUUUUGCAAAGAAUCAUCGUGAUAUGUAUUUAAUCUGUUAUAAUUCAAUUUGUUUUGUAUUAGAAUGGCUACACCAUUAUGAUUAUUACCAAUGUCUAAUCUUUCUAUAUUAUAACCUUUGAUAUUAAAGUUUUUGAAAGGCUUUAGCCAAGUUUCAGAAAGAAGGGCGAUAUGUAUAUUGUUGUUAUAUAAAAAAUAAGUAAAAGCAAGUCUAUUAUUUAUUAAGCUCUGGGCAUUCCACUCGAUAAUAUUUAAAAUAUUAUCCAUUAAAGAGAUACUAUUAAUUAGUGUUAGUACUGGAAAUCUUAAAAGUAUCUAAAAUUAUGUUUUUUAUGCCUUCUGAGUUUAAGGGAGAGUCAUCUGUUUUAUUAACAGAAAUAAUUUUAAUAACUGAUGCAAUGAUUAAUUUUAAAAAGUCAUCAUUUUGCAAUAAUGUGUUAAUAUUGUCAGUAGGUUUAGUUUUAGUGUUUAAAGAUGGAAAAGAUUUUUCAUUAAAUAA